rnacentral:rRNA from 1 species
GACGAACGCUGGCGGCGUGCUUAACACAUGCAAGUCGAACGGAAAGGCCCUGAUUUUGUGGGGUGCUCGAGUGGCGAACGGGUGAGUAACACGUGAGUAACCUGCCCUUGACUUUGGGAUAACUUCAGGAAACUGGGGCUAAUACCGGAUAGGAGCUCCUGCUGCAUGGUGGGGGUUGGAAAGUUUCGGCGGUUGGGGAUGGACUCGCGGCUUAUCAGCUUGUUGGUGGGGUAGUGGCUUACCAAGGCUUGGACGGGUAGCCGGCCUGAGAGGGUGACCGGCCACAUUGGGACUGAGAGACGGCCCAGACUCCUACGGGGGGCAGCAGUGGGGAGUAUUGCACAGUGGGCGGGAGCCUGAUGCAGCAACGCCGCGUUCGUAAUGACGGCCUGCGGGUUAUAAACCGCUUUCGCCUGUGACGAAGCGUGAGUGACGGUAAUGAGUAAAGAAGCACCGGCUAACUACGUG